rnacentral:RNase_P_RNA from 1 species
GAGGUAAGAGCUCACCAGUCUUGCCGGUGACGGCAGGAGCUAGGCAAACCCCACCUGGAGCAAGACCAAAUAGGGGAACGUUUGAGGGUGGUCCGCCCGAGUUCCCGGGUAGGUCGCUUGACCCCGAUGGUAACAUCGGGGCUAGAUGAAUGGCCAUCGCCCCAAGGGUGGGUGACCCCCUUGGGGAACAGAACCCGGCUUAUGGACUGCUCUGGCAU